UAAUACGUAGGGGGCAAGCGUUGUCCGGAUUUACUGGGCGUAAAGAGCGCGUAGGCGGAAAGUUAAGCGGGGCCGGAAAGCCCCCGGCUCAACCGGGGAAGGGGCCGUGAACUGGCUUUCUUGAGGGGGAGAGGGGAGAGCGGAAUUCCUGGUGUAGCGGUGAAAUGCGUAGAGAUCAGGAGGAACACCAAUGGCGAAGGCAGCUCUCUGGCUUCACCCUGACGCUGAGGCGCGAAAGCGUGGGGAGCGAACGGGAUUAGAUACCCCGGUAGUCCACGCCGUAAACGAUGGUCACUAGGUGUUUGCGGUAUCGACCCCGCAAGUGCCGUCGCUAACGCACUAAGUGACCCGCCUGGGGAGUACGGCCGCAAGGUUG
rnacentral:rRNA from 1 species